rnacentral:miRNA from 1 species
UGAUAUGCUAGAGUGUCGGUUU